UGAAUAACAGUGCAAAUCUCCUUUGGCAGAAAUGAUUCUGGUGCAUUUACUCUUGAGUACUACCACUGGAUAUGCUUUCUGCCAAAGGAGAAUUGCCCUGCAAUUCA